UACGUAGGGUGCAAGCGUUGUCCGGAAUUAUUGGGCGUAAAGAGCUUGUAGGCGGUUUGUCGCGUCUGCUGUGAAAAUCCGGGGCUCAACCCCGGACUUGCAGUGGGUACGGGCAGACUAGAGUGUGGUAGGGGAGACUGGAAUUCCUGGUGUAGCGGUGGAAUGCGCAGAUAUCAGGAGGAACACCGAUGGCGAAGGCAGGUCUCUGGGCCAUUACUGACGCUGAGGAGCGAAAGCAUGGGGAGCGAACAGG
rnacentral:rRNA from 1 species